rnacentral:rRNA from 1 species
CAGUCGCCGCGGGAAUACAGAGGGUGCAAGCGUUAAUCGGAAUUACUGGGCGUAAAGCGCGCGUAGGUGGUUUGUUAAGUUGGAUGUGAAAUCCCCGGGCUCAACAUGGGAACUGCAUCCAAAACUGGCAAGCUAGAGUAUGGUAGAGGGUGGUGGAAUUUCCUGUGUAGCGGUGAAAUGCGUAGAUAUAGGAAGGAACACCAGUGGCGAAGGCGACCACCUGGACUGAUACUGACACUGAGGUGCGAAAGCGUGGGGAGCAAACAGGAUUAGAUACCCCCGUAGUCCCUGUCUCUUAUAC